CCCUUCCGUCGAGAGGCGGAGGGGAGGAAAGUCCGAACUCCAUCGGGCAGCGGAGUGGGUAACGCCCAUCCCCCGCGAGGGGCGGAUUAGAGCCACAGAGACGAGUAGUCCCCGGAGGUUUGCUUGGUGCAAACCAAGCAUUGGGGAUGACGUGAAACGCGGCAAUCUCUCCGCGGAGCAAGGCCAAAUAGGUCCCGCCAUCCGGUGGCCCAUCGGGAUCCUCGAAAGAGGAGGCGGGGCGGGUAGGCUGCAUGAGCUCGUCGGUAACGGCGGGCC
rnacentral:ncRNA from 2 species